rnacentral:rRNA from 1 species
AUUGAACGCUGGCGGCAUGCUUUACACAUGCAAGUCGAACGGUAACAGCACUUCGGUGGCUGACGAGUGGCGAACGGGUGAGUAAUACAUCGGAACGUGCCUAGUAGUGGGGGAUAACUACUCGAAAGAGUAGCUAAUACCGCAUGAGAUCUAAGGAUGAAAGCAGGGGACCUUCGGGCCUUGCGCUACUAGAGCGGCUGAUGGCAGAUUAGGUAGUUGGUGGGAUAAAAGCUUACCAAGCCGACGAUCUGUAGCUGGUCUGAGAGGACGACCAGCCACACUGGGACUGAGACACGGCCCAGAGUCCUACGGGAGGCAGCAGUGGGGAAUUUUGGACAAUGGGCGCAAGCCUGAUCCAGCAAUGCCGCGUGCAGGAUGAAGGCCUUCGGGUUGUAAACUGCUUUUGUACGGAACGAAAAGCCCUCUUCUAAUACAGGAGGGUCAUGACGGUACCGUAAGAAUAAGCACCGGCUAACUACGUG